GUAAUAGCUCACUGGUCGAGAGGUCCUGCGCCGAAAAUGUCCGGGGCUGAAACACGACACCGAAGCUGAGGAAUGUCUGAAGACAUUGGUAGAGGAGCAUUGGAUACGCAACGAAGCAGUACCGGAAGGAGCUGUGGAGUGUAUCGAAGAGAGAAUGCCGGAAUGAGUAGCGAGAGAGAGGUGGGAAUCCUCUCGGCCGAAUAUCUAAGGUUUCCAGGGUAAAGCUGAUCUGCCUGGGUAAGUCGGGGCCUAAGGCGAGGACGAGAGUCGUAGCCGAUGGACAACAGGUUGAGAUUCCUGUACUGCAGUAAGACAGAACUGUGGGGACACGUGUGGAGAGCAUAGGCGCGGAAUGGAAAGCCGCGUGCAAGCGAGGUAGGAGUCCUGUAGGAAAAACCGCAGGGCAAUCCGAAGGCGUGAUGCGGACCGAAAUCUAGUAGGGAAGUAUGUGAGCCAUGCGUCAAGAAAAGCCGCUAUUGUUCUUAUUGUACCCGUACCGUAAACCGACACAGGUGGAUGAGGAGAGAAUCCUAAGGCCGACGG
rnacentral:rRNA from 2 species